rnacentral:snRNA from 1 species
GGACGUGAGGGUGAUCUGGCUACGACAUCUGUCACCCCAGUAACCGCCAGGGUUGAUUUGGCUGCUCUGGCUGGCUGGGCAGGUAUCCCUUCCUUCCUCAGCGCUUCGCGUGCGUCCCUCCCGAAGCUGCGGCUCGGUCGAAGAGGACGACCAUACCCGAGAGAGGAGCUGCGCUCCCCCGCUAGAACCUCCAAACCAGCGCUCAGGGUCCAUUUGUAGGAGAACGUAGGGUUGUCAAGACUCCAAACACAUCCAGAUGAGGCGCUGCAUGUGACAAUCUGCCUUUCU